AGAGUUUGAUCCUGGCUCAGGAUGAACGCUAGCGACAGGCUUAACACAUGCAAGUCGAGGGGCAGCACAGGUAGCAAUACCGGGUGGCGACCGGCGCACGGGUGAGUAACGCGUAUGCAACUUGCCUAUCAGAGGGGGAUAACCCGGCGAAAGUCGGACUAAUACCGCAUGAAGCAGGGGCCCCGCAUGGGGAUAUUUGCUAAAGAUUCAUCGCUGAUAGAUAGGCAUGCGUUCCAUUAGGCAGUUGGCGGGGUAACGGCCCACCAAACCGACGAUGGAUAGGGGUUCUGAGAGGAAGGUCCCCCACAUUGGUACUGAGACACGGACCAAACUCCUACGGGAGGCAGCAGUGAGGAAUAUUGGUCAAUGGGCGCGAGCCUGAACCAGCCAAGUCGCGUGAGGGAUGAAGGUUCUAUGGAUCGUAAACCUCUUUUAUAAGGGAAUAAAGUGCGGGACGUGUCCCGUUUUGUAUGUACCUUAUGAAUAAGGAUCGGCUAACUCCGUGCCAGCAGCCGCGGUAAUACGGAGGAUCCGAGCGUUAUCCGGAUUUAUUGGGUUUAAAGGGUGCGUAGGCGGCCUUUUAAGUCAGCGGUGAAAGUCUGUGGCUCAACCAUAGAAUUGCCGUUGAAACUGGGGGGCUUGAGUAUGUUUGAGGCAGGCGGAAUGCGUGGUGUAGCGGUGAAAUGCAUAGAUAUCACGCAGAACCCCGAUUGCGAAGGCAGCCUGCCAAGCCAUUACUGACGCUGAUGCACGAAAGCGUGGGGAUCAAACAGGAUUAGAUACCCUGGUAGUCCACGCAGUAAACGAUGAUCACUAGCUGUUUGCGAUACACUGUAAGCGGCACAGCGAAAGCGUUAAGUGAUCCACCUGGGGAGUACGCCGGCAACGGUGAAACUCAAAGGAAUUGACGGGGGCCCGCACAAGCGGAGGAACAUGUGGUUUAAUUCGAUGAUACGCGAGGAACCUUACCCGGGUUUGAACGCAUUCGGACCGAGGUGGAAACACCUUUUCUAGCAAUAGCCGUUUGCGAGGUGCUGCAUGGUUGUCGUCAGCUCGUGCCGUGAGGUGUCGGCUUAAGUGCCAUAACGAGCGCAACCCUUGCCACUAGUUACUAACAGGUAAAGCUGAGGACUCUGGUGGGACUGCCAGCGUAAGCUGCGAGGAAGGCGGGGAUGACGUCAAAUCAGCACGGCCCUUACAUCCGGGGCGACACACGUGUUACAAUGGCGUGGACAAAGGGAAGCCACCUGGCGACAGGGAGCGAAUCCCCAAACCACGUCUCAGUUCGGAUCGGAGUCUGCAACCCGACUCCGUGAAGCUGGAUUCGCUAGUAAUCGCGCAUCAGCCAUGGCGCGGUGAAUACGUUCCCGGGCCUUGUACACACCGCCCGUCAAGCCAUGGGAGCCGGGGGUACCUGAAGUCCGUAACCGCGAGGAUCGGCCUAGGGUAAAACUGGUGACUGGGGCUAAGUCGUAACAAGGUAGCCGUACCGGAAGGUGCGGCUG
rnacentral:rRNA from 1 species